rnacentral:rRNA from 1 species
CUUUACUGUAGCUUUGUAUUGGACUUUGAACAGAUCUGUGUAGGAUAGGUGGGAGGCUUUGAAGUGAGGAUGCUAGUUCUCAUGGAGCCAACGUUGAAAUACCACCCUGGUGUGUUUGAGGUUCUAACCUAGGUCCAUUAUCUGGAUCGGGGACAGUGCAUGGUAGGCAGUUUGACUGGGGCGGUCUCCUCCCAAAGUGUAACGGAGGAGUUCGAAGGUACGCUAGUUACGGUCGGACAUCGUGACGAUAGUGCAAUGGCAUAAGCGUGCUUAACUGCGAGACUGACAAGUCGAGCAGAUGCGAAAGCAGGACAUAGUGAUCCGGUGGUUCUGUAUGGAAGGGCCAUCGCUCAACGGAUAAAAGGUA